GGUUCGGGCGCCCCCCCUUGGGACGGGGGGCAUGAAUGGGACCGAUCCGCCCCUUCGCAUGCGGCGCUGCGCGUUCCCCGACGCGCAUGCAC
ncrna:unclassified sequences Rhodo-rpoB RNA